GACGUAGGGGGCGAGCGUUGUCCGGAUUUACUGGGCGUAAAGAGCGCGUAGGCGGUUAACUAAGUCAGGUGUGAAAUCUCCAGGGCUCAACCCGGAAACUGCAUUUGAUACUGGUUAACUUGAGUGUCGGAGAGGUAACUGGAAUUCCUGGUGUAGCGGUGACAUGCAUUGAUAUCAGGAGGAACACCCAUGGCGAAGGCAGGUUACUGGCCGACAACUGACGCUGAGGCGCGAAAGCGUGGGUAGCAAACAGA
rnacentral:rRNA from 1 species